AGUGGGUCCCAAUGCGUGUCCUCCCGUGUCCGCGAGUCUGACGACCCCGGGGCCUCAUGGGAGUGGGAUCCUACAGUGUCCGUCCUUCCGUGUGUGUUUUGUGUCACUCAGCCUCCCGUCCUCCGCGUUCAUGCAGGUGGCGGCCGGUGCCAGGAUUUCCUUGCUUGUUAAGGCUGAGUGGUAGUCCAUCGUGUGGCCGGACCACACUGUGGUCGUCUGUCGGUGGACGCCUGGGUCGCUUCCACCUCUCGGCCGCCGGGAAUCCUGCCGCCGCGAACGUGGGCGAGCGGGUGUCUCUUCGGGUCCUGCUUCCGGUUCUUCUGGGGAUAGACCGGAAGCGGGAUCGCUGGUCACGUGAGCUUCUAUGCUUCGCUUUCUGAGGACCAACCGUGCUGCUUUCCAGAGUGUCUGCACCAGCUGGCAUUUUCACGGGCAAGUGCCCCGGUUGCUCCACGUCCUUGCCGAUACUUGUUUUGUUGGGUUUUGCUUGCUACGAGAACCAUCCUGACGGGGUGAGGCGGCAGGAACCCCGUGUGGCAGUGACCCGCGUUUCCCAAAGAUUCAGUGAUGUUGAGCGUCUUCCCGUGCUCGCUGGACAUUCGGUUUCCCCCCUCGAGAAACGUCUGGUCGAGUCCUCGCUCAGUUUUGAACUGGGCUGGUGUCUGUUGUGGACAGCCAGGGAUGGUUGCCAUCCCGCAUGAUCUUCCGGAACCUUCCUCGUCAAGGAGUAGUUUCCGUGUCCCCUCCCUUGAACCUGGGCAGACUUCAGUGACGCCCUUGACUGGUGGCAGAGACAGCUUCCAAGGGCACUUACAGGCUGAACCGUGUCCCCCUACGUUGAAGUCCUGACCCAGAGCCCCAGCACCUGGCCCCAGCCUCAUCGCAGUUGUAAGUAGCGACGACAGGGGUGGAUUCCCAAUGCAAUGUGACCUGAUAAAAAGGGGACAUUUGGACACAGACACACAGGGGGACGCCACGGGAGGAUGAUGGCAGAGGUUGGGGGACGCAUCUACCUGCCGAGGGACGCCAGAGGCGGCCAGCAAACCACCUGCAGCUGGGCCCUCCCCCGAGUCUCGGGGGGGUGGGGGGUGGCACGGGAACCAGCCCCGCCACACCUCGAUCUUGGAGCUCAGCCUCCAGAGAGGGGCGACAGUGAACUUCAGGUGUGGAAGCCACCCGGUCUGUGGCUCUCGUUAAGGAGCCCCUGGAAAGUAACACAGGCCUGCAUCUGCCAGUUGGGGGCAGGGAGGCGAGGCUGCCGGCCGAGUUCUGCCCCCGGGGGAGGCAGGUGCGUGGGGAGGCCUGCCUCCAUGCUGUGUACCAGAGCAGGGUCCUCACCCCCCACCCAGUGGGUGGUCCAUCGGCCAGCGUACGUGUCUGCGCCGCUGAGGGCCAACAGUUUCCAGGGGCGGGCAAACAUCGACGGAGCGCCGGCUGUGUGCUUCACACACGGUUCAAACGUGACAACAGACAAACUCCUAUCUGUCCUUCAAAACCCAGCUCAGGGGUCACCUCCUCCUUGAACGGCUUCCCUUUAGUAACUUCCGAAGAGAAAGGGAACAGCCACAGUCUGUGCAACCUGGGUCCCUUAGCGUCCCCUUAUUUGCCACCGCGGACCCCUAAACAAAAGGCACAGAGCCGUGAGCACCCGCCAGUCUUGUUCAUCCCCGUGCCCUAGCGCUCAACACAAGGCCUAGUGAGCAGUAGCCUCUAAGGAAUGCUUGUGAAGUAAGUCAACAGCCAAAUGUUUGGUCUGGUGGACUUGGUCCAGUGGAACUGAGCUGAGUCUCUGGGUUGGCUCUUAAGGAGACCAGCAAGGCCUCACGUUGCUAACUACAAGGAGAACGUGGCCUGUUGGUGCCCUGCCGUGGACACCUGCUGCACACCAGAAUCUAAGGGGAAAUCCAGGAGGUCUUCUUGGAGGAGGAGACAUCUGAGAAUACUUUUUUUUUUUUAAUGUUUAUUUAUUUUUGAGAGACAGAGAGAGACAGAGUGCAAGCAGGGGAGGGGCAGAG